UACGGGGGGAGCAAGCGUUGUUCGGAUUUACUGGGCGUAAAGGGCGCGUAGGCGGCGUAACAAGUCACUUGUGAAAUCUCCGGGCUUAACCCGGAGCGGCCAAGUGAUACUGUUGUGCUAGAGUGCGGAAGGGGCUACUGGAAUUCUCGGUGUAGCGGUGAAAUGCGUAGAUAUCGAGAGGAACACCUGCGGCGAAGGCGGGUAGCUGGGCCGACACUGACACUGAGAGACGAAAGCUAGGGGAGCGAAUGGG
rnacentral:rRNA from 1 species